GCAAAUUUGUAAGAGAGGGAGGAAAAACUCGGAAUAAAUCUUUGUCUGCAGCUAAAGCCCUGCUUGCAUCAAGGAUUUCCUUCUGUACUCGCACCCCCCCUCCUGCUUUGGCACGGCGCCAUUCGAAAAAGAUGUUUAAGAAAGAUGUUUUUUCCACUCUGGGAGAGUUGAACAUGGAACGGAUACGCAGAGAAGUGAAGAGUUCAGCGAGUUCAGUUAAUGAGAAAUAUGUAAAUGCAUCAAUAACAAAGGAAUGAUGACGUCACAAGCUGUGCUGCCCAGGACACUGCCUGAUAGCAGACGGGACAAGCUGGGGAAGCAUGGAUUUAUUUGAAAUGAUGCCAUCUGUGUGCAAUAGCGUGUCCCUGAUUCACAUCGAAACAUUCUUGCACAAGAAAGAGGACCAUGUGAAGUUUGUCACCGUAACGACUGACACGUUUUAGUAACUUCCUCUUUCAUGGUAAGGAGCUUGAGGACCUGCAGGAACCUUCUGAACUUUGAGAAUUUGCAAGUGUUCUGUUAAAACUGUGCUGCUAAUUUCAGUAAUUUCCCUAGUGCUUAUUUGAAUGUCUUUCUCUUCGUUGCUCUCAACCGAAUGACUGCAGGCAAAGUGCGACUUGGGUAAUGAUGUCAAACAUGACUUGUGAGUCAUAAAACCACAAAAAUCAGUCAAGCAAGCGGGAUCUACCAAGUCUAGUAUGUCUGUUAAGGCUCUCCGAGGAAGUCUUAUGAAUGACAAAGAAAUCCAAAACACAGGCAGUGAACGAACAGCCUUUGGAUGUGUAUAAUGAUUAGCGGGGACUAUAACUGCAACUACCUGGGACGGAUGCCAAAUGCUGACAAAGGCGAUCAUUGCAUUCUCAGGAGUGAACAGAAUCAAGUCUUCGUCCUCUCGCACUUCUUUGGCUGAGGUUAUUUAUAUUUUGGGGAAACCACAGAAGACUUUGACUCAUAGCAGAAGAGCUUAUUCACAUUCUUUGGCUAAAGGGAACAAAAAAUCAUUUUCUGUCUUUCUCUUAGCAUCCUGUGCCAAAGUGGGCAGGGAGAAAGAGCUUGUGGUGAGGCGGGUGAAGAGGAGGCCGCUCUACGUGCUCUUUCUUCAGCCACAACCCCGUGGAAGAGCAUGUUUAGUGGCAGCACAUUUCUGGGUUUCUCUCCCCCAGUUAGCCGUACUAUGUGCACGAAUGCGAGUCUGCUCUCCAUGUCGCCAUGACCCCUGCGUGCCUUCUUAUAGCCUUAAGCAUCGACCCUCUAGCUUACAGGUAUUUGAUUUUUUGCCUUCAGUGUUUUUGAUAUUUUGCAUAGAAUAUUUGUUUUCACCUUUUAAACCCAUUCUCUUUAAGCAUCAUCGCUAUACAGUAUAUUUUUAACCCACUGUCCUAGCUUUCUUGUUCAACGUUGUCUUCCACUUGUAAACGUGUCCACCUCAGCCCUGAGCCCAUGCCUCGGAUUCCGCCAUUUUUAGUACGCUAAACGACUAAAUCGUUAGGAAUCGUUGAUGUACAUUAGAUAAAUGUUUUUAUAUCUUGAUUUAGUGCUUUUUCGGGGCUUUUAUUGGUAUAUUAACCAAAGCAAGGUAGGUUCUUCGUUGGUACAUGUGCCUUAGGAAUAAUGCUCUUUUACUUCUGUGUCCUUCUGUGCUGUUGAUUUUUGCUCCGAUUUGAAAAUGUUAAAACACGCAAUUGGUUCUUGGCUAAUUCCUUAAAUCUUUUGGAGGGAAAUCACGCCACAGUGAUGUUUAUGGAUAUAACUGUACUGUUUGUGGAUGGCCUGUGGUGUAAGCGAAUUGUUUAACCCUUUGAGAUUUAUUGUUGCAUACUAGCUGUGUGAUUUUUUGCUAUAUGAAGAAAGAACGAAUGAAGGCUAAACAGUGAUAUACACUAAAGAAAAGCAUAAACUAAGUUUAUCUUAUGUAUACUAUAGGAAAGAAAAACAAUACAACAGUUAUUACAGAAAUACAAUGUUUAUGAACAAAUAAACAUUAAUGGGUAGGUAAGUAUAUUUAUAUAGACAUGAAGGAGGAGUAGCAGAAAUGCACUUUUGCAAAAAUAAAUAUUUCAGAGUAUAAUUUAAAAUAGGUGUGGUGCUUUUAAUUGACAACAUAUUCUAAUUUAAGGUAACGUGACUACAUUUUUGAUCAGCAUAAAAGAUUGAUCUGCAUAAUACGUUUUAUCGGUAAACUUAUCUUAUCUUGAUGAGAUCCGAUUUCUUAAAAGAAAGUAGAAGUAUCCGAUUUGCAUUUUACCGGGUCACUUACAACGUAGACAAAUGACACGUAUUCAUUCCUAAAAAUCAUGAUGCAUCGAUAAAUUUUAUUAGAAUCCAACUCGCGUCUGUAAAUAAUGUUACAAAGAAAAGUACUCAAGAUGGCGUCGUCAUGCCACGUGUUUGUGUACUAUGAUACUUAGGGUAUUUUACCUAAAGUGGAUUUGCUGCGCAAAGGUUUUUUAAUGCAAACCCAAACAACAGCAAACGUUGACUGCGCAUUAGCGAACAAAGGUGUAAAAGCUGUACAAAGCUGUGCAUGGUGUUAGGUUAAAAUAACACAUGAUGUUUUAACUACAAAAGAGCAGGGAUUUCCCUGGAUAUUAUUUCUUUUUGUUACAUUACUUGUCAGGCAGGCAAUUAGCUGCUUUUGUACAGUAAAACAAGAGGCUCGGGAGAAAGGCAAACACGUUUGUAUGUACAUGUUUAUUUUGCUGUGAGAUAGAAAGAGAUGGCAGCAUGAAAAAAUGGAACGAGGGCGGGCGGAAAGGAGACCAUUUCCUCCACCCCCUGUUCUCCUCAGAUGAACUUAUCAUGUAGCCUCAUAUUUUCUCUUUUUUUCCUUUCGCAUGCAGCUUGGCAACAUUUACUGUAGCGUUGACAAUUAGAUCCAAUAUUACAAGCAGGAAGUCUGUUCUACGGCAAACACAAGAUUAACCCUUACAGCGCUUGACUUUACUGCACAUGUAAGUAACUUUACUUGCAGUUGUUUGUGCGCAAAAGCGCAGACGUGUGACAUAUGCUCAGUGCCUAUUAGUUACAUUACGGGCCCAGACAGGGUCAGAGAUGUAAGUCUAAUCUGCAAGGUCUCUGUAUAAACAAGGCAAGGCAGCAUUCUUAUCGUUGAGUUUCGAUGAAUAACAGCAUGCUCUCCGGAGACCGCGUGACAGAGUCAGCCGAGGUCAGGCCAAGCCCUGCUUCCUGUUUUUUGGGGACCGCUAUUUUUGCAAUAAGGGCGUUUUCCCUGUAGGUUGAUGACAGGGGAUCAUAAGCAGAAUGAUUAAUGAUAUUGUAAAACGCUUAUGGCUUUCAAUAGCUUAACUCUUUUAAGCUGUGCUGAAUGUACUGUAUGAACAAUGCUGCCUAAUGUAUACUAUAUAACGUACAGUAGAGCGAUUCAUACAAGCACGCUAUACACUGCUGGUCAAAAGUCUUGAAUGAAUUCGUAUUAAUUUGUUAUACUAUACAUCUUUUGUUGUACAAAUGAAGUUCCACAAAGCUCAAAUGAUCAUUUAAAAGUCAUUAAACCAGUUAAACCGGAUAUUUAAGGAAAAUCAAAUCAACAGAUGCUAUUCAUAAAGCAUCUCAGAAUGCAUGGAGAUUGUUGAAAUUAUUUAUAGUCUUUACCUGUGAAAUUGCAUAAUUUUGACGACUUUGCUAUUUAUGCGGAUAUGUGGGAAAUAAUCAAAAUUGGGCAGCUCUGAACUUCAGUGUGUGUGAGCUUUUUUAACAAAGUGUUACUGUAAGUCGUGCAGCAAUUCGUCCUGCACUAUUUUAGCUAGGAAUGAACUCACUAUCGCCGAGAAUGCGGAUCUACAGCUGUACAAACAAAAGAUUAGAUGAGAAGAUAUCACCUAAAAAGAUAACACCAGCAGUAUUAAUAGUAAAAAAUGAAGAAAAAAAAAUAGACCACAUACUGUGCAUCUCAUUUGUUCAUGUAUCUCAUAUUUCCGUCACUUAUGAGUAGAGGUUGUGUUAAGCCCGGGAUACACUGCACAAUUUUUGGCCGUCCCAGACGAAAGAUGUGAAACAUCAGGGCUCAAAAUAAAGGACUGCCCGGUAGCCCGGGACAAGCGUGAAAGACAUUCAGGCAAGUAAAAAGUAUUGUUACUUGCCCGAUGGGGCCAGUGCUUGACCCUCAGUCACUAAAAUAUAUUUUCAUCAAUGUAUAUUAUUUAACAUAUUGGAAGCAGACAUUUACUUGGGUAAAACACGACGAAAGAAACAAUGCAAUAUUUUGCACAAUUUACAGGUAAAGCAGAAAAGUUGGGAGCGUUUUUGUUGUAACAUGUCUGUUGCAUACAAUUAUAUUUGACUUUUGAAUUGUUAUUUUUAAAUGUCACACUGACAUUUUUUAUUGAGGCCAGUGAAAAUUUUGGCAGGGCAAGUGAAAACCUGAACCACUGGCCCAACCGGGCCCGUACAAAAAAUUAUUUGGGUUGAGCCCUGAACAUUCGUUGUGAUUUCUGUGAUCGUGGCUCUUAAUCUUUGAAUCUAUGUUGUACAGUAAGAGAGGUUCAAAGACGUCUGUUUCCCGGUCUUGCGACCAAAGAUAGCCUUGUUUGCCAGAUACUUGUUUAAUCUCAUGUGUAAUCAAAGUUUAGUGUUAAGUUAAGUGUCUUGCAAGUAUUUUGUGAACGUAAGCGUCUCUUUUAUCAUAAACCAUUUUGAUGCGUGUGCAGCAGGCACAUAUUUUGACAAGACGCAUGAUGAACAUGACGCAACAAACACACAUUUUGACAUGACAAGCAACACACAUGACACUCCGAACACAUAUUUUGAAUUCGCGCCCCUCGGAAGAUUAAUGUGGUACCCAAGUUUAAACGCUCCAUGCCGCACAGUGUGAUAAGUUUUCACAUCUGUAGUUCGGUUAAUUUGGUCCAGACCAAAAGCGAAAAAAUUAUACAUUGUAAAUUUUUUAGCAGUUUUGGUUCCUUUUCAUACCACACUGAUUGCUCUGAUCCGCACCAGUUGAAACGAACCAAAAUUCUGUCUGUGAUAAGAUCCACAUUACUCAUUGGCUACACAUAUUUUAACGUAUUUCCUAAACUGCUUCUCGAUUGGUCAGAAUCAACGUGCGCGAAAUUCCAACGGAACCCUGGUAGUAAACAAAAAGACGGAAAAUACAGCAGACACCGCGGACAGACGGCUGCGCGAUGUAAUUAUGUCUCCGUGGUUGUUAUACAUGUUAUACAUUAUACAUAAUUUUCAGAAUGAAUUACGGAUGCGGCUUGAAAACAACGUUUUAAUGCACUACAAACGGCGAAGACACCAAAUUUCUCAGGCUCCGCCUGCACCUCCUCGCAACUCCAGGUAUGUCCGUGAUCUGUCAUUGUGCUAAUAUUGCUAAUAGAAACUGUCAACAAACACUUCCUCAUACGAUAAUGCACUUCGCAGCUGACUACGGCAGCUGGUUUAGUCCAAAAUGCGCAUUACUUUUGCAGUUAGGUCGGUUCGAUCUCGGAUCGUGUUCUCACCACAAACGAACCGCUCUAGUGUUCGUUUGAAAGCGUAGGUGGUCUCGGUUCGCUUGUUUGGUCCGCUUUUGGUGCGAACCAGAGUUCGAUUGCUGCAUUCUCACCUGCCCAAAUGAACUGAACCAACUGAGCAAUCGAACUCUGGUUUAAGCGCUUUAAACGCUUGGAAACGCAAGGCGCGAAGCACUGCCUUUUUAAAAAAAAAUGAGAAGUGCGACGUGGCUUUUUAUAUUGCUAAGCAACCAUCGAGGCAGCUGUCUUGUCAAUCAAAUAUUGAAGCAUGAGCGCUCUUUUGCUGUUGACUGUCAUAUUAGCAGAAACUUUAAAAAGAGGACGCUUGCUCUGACCUUGUUUGAGGGUGAGAGGUGCACAAACAUGCAGGAAAGAGUGAGCGAGUGGAGUCCGGUUCUUCAAAGCAACUGUAAACUUCCCUCACCACAACGUAAGGCCCGCCUCUCCCCUCAUUCGAUUGGACAAUGGAAAGACGCAAAUGAUAUCGGGCGUUUCUCCGCUCUCAGCGCUCCUUCAAAAGCGCUUGCUGCGGCUGGCGGCAAAAAGUGCAAAGGCGCACAUAAACAGCGCGCAAACGCUCCCUGCCCAUAGAAUAUCAUUCAAAAAAGGCGCCUGCAACUGCCAUAAACGCUUUUGGUGUGAUCGACCCCUUAAUGAUCUCAUAAAAUGGCAAAAUCUUGCAGUGUAUCCCAGGCUUUAGACUUUUUCAUUCGCCACUUUGACAGACAGGGUCGUGAAAAUUCAAUCUUUAUGACACUGUACUGUAUCUGAAACGAUCAGAACAUAUUAAUGCAGACUCUACUGAUAUUAGAUUUUGUGUCUUUACCUCAGAAAGAUGAAGUACUGUUGCUGUAUUAAUUUUGUUUUAGAGAUUGAUCAGCGCGGCACAGAUCUAUCAGCGUAUGACAUCAAAGUAUCACAGGAGAGUUUUGAGACCAGGUCUUACUAAUUGCUCACUCGCAGAACUUCACGUAGAUCAGUCUGCCGGCAUUGCAUUAAGUCAAAUUUGCACUUGCCAAUAGCUGGACAGGGCUUGGAAUUACAUUUACAAGUUAUUAGUGUAAUUUGUCAGAAUGAUGGAUGGCUUUUAGAUAAUCAAAGACAGAAAAUUUUCGGUAAAUGCGACCUCCGCUCAUGAGACAUACAUGACUUUGUUUAAUGUAAAUGGUUUGAUAUAGAGCUUAAUUUAGGUUAAUAAGGACCUUUAUGGACAUAAAGGGGAUUUUCAAUGGGGAAGCUCUUCUCCUAUCUUAAAUGAACACAGCACAAUAACAUUGUCUCAAGUUCUGCUUUUUUAAUUGUGGCUCUUAAUCUGCCACCAUCUCCCCACCUUUCACUACUCUACCAUCACCCUCUUCUGCAUUCAUUGAAAUUCAGCCUGGCAAACCGGCGCUACCCCUUUCUUGGCACCAGACUCAGAGACUGAGAGACAGAAAGGAGGGGAGAAAAUUAAAAUGAAAACAAGAAUGUGUACCGUUCAUCCAAUUUCUCACUCGCUAACAUUGUGCCAAACGUUCAGUCCAUUCCGAAGGAAUUAAUGCCAGUUUUUCACGAGGCAUUUUUGUUGUUUAAUCUCAGUGAUUGUCGUAAUCGCGUAUGGCCCUGGCAACCAAAACAGUAGGAGGCGUUUAGCAGGCUAAUUGAUUUGCCUGUUUACCUUUAGUGAUUGGACGAUCACAGGGGCUAACGGUUGUGUCUUUUCAAUACUGGGUAAGAUAAAACGCCAUUUGUUGAUCUGA